rnacentral:rRNA from 1 species
CAGUAGCGGCGAGCGAACGGGGAGGAGCCCAGAGCCUGAAUCAGUGUGUGUGUUAGUGGAAGCGUCUGGAAAGGCGCGCGAUACAGGGUGACAGCCCCGUACACAAAAAUGCACAUGCUGUGAGCUCGAUGAGUAGGGCGGGACACGUGGUAUCCUGUCUGAAUAUGGGGGGACCAUCCUCCAAGGCUAAAUACUCCUGACUGACCGAUAGUGAACCAGUACCGUGAGGGAAAGGCGAAAAGAACCCCGGCGAGGGGAGUGAAAAAGAACCUGAAACCGUGUACGUACAAGCAGUGGGAGCACGCUUAGGCGUGUGACUGCGUACCUUUUGUAUAAUGGGUCAGCGACUUAUAUUCUGUAGCAAGGUUAACCGAAUAGGGGAGCCGAAGGGAAACCGAGUCUUAACUGGGCGUUAAGUUGCAGGGUAUAGACCCGAAACCCGGUGAUCUAGCCAUGGGCAGGUUGAAGGUUGGGUAACACUAACUGGAGGACCGAACCGACUAAUGUUGAAAAAUUAGCGGAUGACUUGUGGCUGGGGGUGAAAGGCCAAUCAAACCGGGAGAUAGCUGGUUCUCCCCGAAAGCUAUUUAGGUAGCGCCUCGUGAAUUCAUCUCCGGGGGUAGAGCACUGUUUCGGCAAGGGGGUCAUCCCGACUUACCAACCCGAUGCAAACUGCGAAUACCGGAGAAUGUUAUCACGGGAGACACACGGCGGGUGCUAACGUCCGUCGUGAAGAGGGAAACAACCCAGACCGCCAGCUAAGGUCCCAAAGUCAUGGUUAAGUGGGAAACGAUGUGGGAAGGCCCAGACAGCCAGGAUGUUGGCUUAGAAGCAGCCAUCAUUUAAAGAAAGCGUAAUAGCUCACUGGUCGAGUCGGCCUGCGCGGAAGAUGUAACGGGGCUAAACCAUGCACCGAAGCUGCGGCAGCGACGCUUAUGCGUUGUUGGGUAGGGGAGCGUUCUGUAAGCCUGCGAAGGUGUGCUGUGAGGCAUGCUGGAGGUAUCAGAAGUGCGAAUGCUGACAUAAGUAACGAUAAAGCGGGUGAAAAGCCCGCUCGCCGGAAGACCAAGGGUUCCUGUCCAACGUUAAUCGGGGCAGGGUGAGUCGACCCCUAAGGCGAGGCCGAAAGGCGUAGUCGAUGGGAAACAGGUUAAUAUUCCUGUACUUGGUGUUACUGCGAAGGGGGGACGGAGAAGGCUAUGUUGGCCGGGCGACGGUUGUCCCGGUUUAAGCGUGUAGGCUGGU